UUGCUGGUAACGGCAGGGUCUGAAGGAAGCAGCAGUAUAUAGCGUAAGCAAACCAGAAUCGGCAUUAUGGGUGGGUAAGCGUGCAAAAUAGCGCAAAGCCCCUUACCUGGUCAGGCCCAUGGUGUGAUUGAGGAUGGCAUUGCUCACAGGGAGUUCGC
rfam:Desulfobacterium autotrophicum HRM2, complete genome.